rnacentral:rRNA from 1 species
GACGAACGCUGGCGGCGUGCUUAACACAUGCAAGUCGAGCGAGGCCCCUCCUUCGGGAGGGUGUCCUAGCGGCGAACGGGUGAGUAACACGUGGGCAACCUGCCCUCAGCUCUGGGAUAACUCCGGGAAACCGGGGCUAAUACCGGAUACGACCUCCACGGGCAUCUGCGGAGGUGGAAAGUUUUUCGGCUGAGGAUGGGCCCGCGGCCUAUCAGCUAGUUGGUGGGGUAGUGGCCCACCAAGGCGACGACGGGUAGCCGGCCUGAGAGGGCGACCGGCCACACUGGGACUGAGACACGGCCCAGACUCCUACGGGAGGCAGCAGUGGGGAAUAUUGCGCAAUGGGCGAAAGCCUGACGCAGCGACGCCGCGUGAGGGACGAAGGCCUUCGGGUUGUAAACCUCUUUCAGCAGGGACGAAGCGAAAGUGACGGUACCUGCAGAGGAAGCACCGGCCAACUACGUG